UACGGAGGAUGCAAGCGUUAUCCGGAAUCAUUGGGCGUAAAGCGUCCGCAGGUGGCAAUGUAAGUCUGCUGUCAAAGCGUCUGGCUCAACCAGAUAAAGGCAGUGGAAACUACAUAGCUAGAGUAAGGUAGGGGUAGAGGGAAUUCCUGGUGUAGCGGUGAAAUGCGUAGAGAUCAGGAAGAACACCGGUGGCGAAAGCGCUCUGCUGGACCUUAACUGACACUGAGGGACGAAAGCUAGGGGAGCGAAUGGG
rnacentral:rRNA from 1 species